CUACGGGAGGCAGCAGUGAGGAAUAUUGCACAAUGGGCGAAAGCCUGAUGCAGCAACGCCGCGUGAGGGACGAAGGCCUUCGGGUUGUAAACCUCUUUUCUGAGGGAUGAGGCAAGGACAGUACCUCAGGAAUAAGUCUCGGCUAACUACGUGCCAGCAGCCGCGGUAAGACGUAGGAGGCGAGCGUUAUCCGGAUUUACUGGGCGUAAAGCGCGCGCAGGCGGCUUCGUUAGUCGGAUGUGAAAGCUCCUGGCUUAACCGGGAGAGGCCAUUCGAUACUGCGAGGCUUGAGGUUGGAAGAGGGGUGUGGAAUUCCCGGUGUAGUGGUGGAAUGCGUAGAUAUCGGGAGGAACACCUGUGGCGAAAGCGGCACCCUGGUCCACACCUGACGCUGAGGUGCGAAAGCGUGGGUAGCAAACAGGAUUAGAAACCCCAGUAGUCC
rnacentral:rRNA from 1 species